UACGUAGGGGGCUAGCGUUGUCCGGAAUCAUUGGGCGUAAAGAGCGCGUAGGCGGCCAGAUAAGUCCGGUGUGAAAGUCAAAGGCUCAACCUUUGAAUGCCGCUGGAAACUGUCUGGCUAGAGUCCGGGAGGGGCGAGUGGAAUUCCUGGUGUAGCGGUGAAAUGCGCAGAUAUCAGGAGGAACACUAAUGGCGAAGGCAGCUCGCUGGAACGGUACUGACGCUGAGGCGCGAAAGCGUGGGGAGCGAACAGG
rnacentral:rRNA from 1 species